rnacentral:tRNA from 1 species
GAAGUCUUAGCUUAAUUAAAGUGUCUGAGUUGCAAUUAGAUGCUGUGGAUUAAAAUUUCACAGGUUU